AUAUAGGAAGACAAGAUUAGGAGAACGGUCUGGAAAGGCCGGCCAUAGAACAUGACAGCUGUGUAUCCGAAAAUCUUCGUUGGACUUAGAGGUAUCCUGAGUAGCGCGGGACACGUGAAAUCCUGUGUGAAUCUGCGGGGCCCAUCCCGUAAGGCUAAAUACUCCCGAGAGACCGAUAGUGAACCAGUACCGUGAGGGAAAGGUGAAAAGAACCUCGAACAGAGGAGUGCAAUAGAUCCUGAACCCGUCUGCCUACAAGCGGUAGGAGCAGCUUCGUGCUGUGACUGCGUGCCUUUUGCAUAAUGAACCUACGAGUUACUUUCUCUGGCAAGGUUAAGUGAUGAAGAGUCACGUGAGCCGAAGCGAAAGCGAGUCUGAAUAGGGCGAUUUAGUCAGAGGGAGUAGACGCGAAACCAAGUGAUCUACCCUUGGUCNNNNNNNNNNCUAAUCAAACUUGGAGAUAGCUCGUACUCCCCGAAAUGCAUUUAGGUGCAGCCUGUGGAGUUUCUUACGUGAGGUAGAGCGACUGAUUGGAUGCGAGGCUUUCACCGGCUAUCAAGUCCAGACAAACUCCGAAUGCACGUUAAGUAAGAUCCACGGAGUGAGGGCAUGGGUGCUAAGGUCCAUGUCCGAGAGGAGAAGAAUCCAGACCAUCGGCUAAGGUCCCGAAAUAAUAGCUAAGUUGACCAAACGAAGUCAGAGUGCGAAG
rnacentral:rRNA from 1 species